AACACGUGGGAAAUCUGCCCUGAACUCUGGGACAAGCCUUGGAAACGAGGUCUAAUACCGGAUAUGACCGUGGAGCGCAUGCUCUGUGGUGGAAAGCUCCGGCGGUUCAGGAUGAUCCCGCGGCCUAUCAGCUUGUUGGUGGGGUAAUGGCCUACCAAGGCGACGACGGGUAGCCGGCCUGAGAGGGCGACCGGCCACACUGGGACUGAGACACGGCCCAGACUCCUACGGGAGGCAGCAGUGGGGAAUAUUGCACAAUGGGCGAAAGCCUGAUGCAGCGACGCCGCGUGAGGGAUGACGGCCUUCGGGUUGUAAACCUCUUUCAGCAGGGAAGAAGCGCAAGUGACGGUACCUGCAGAAGAAGCACCGGCUAACUACGUGCCAGCAGCCGCGGUAAUACGUAGGGUGCGAGCGUUGUCCGGAAUUAUUGGGCGUAAAGAGCUCGUAGGCGGCCUGUCGCGUCGGAUGUGAAAGCCCGGGGCUUAACCCCGGGUCUGCAUUCGAUACGGGCAGGCUAGAGUGUGGUAGGGGAGAUCGGAAUUCCUGGUGUAGCGGUGAAAUGCGCAGAUAUCAGGAGGAACACCGGUGGCGAAGGCGGAUCUCUGGGCCAUUACUGACGCUGAGGAGCGAAAGCGUGGGGAGCGAACAGGAUUAGAUACCCUGGUAGUCCACGCCGUAAACGUUGGGAACUAGGUGUUGG
rnacentral:rRNA from 1 species